GGCUUCCGAAUCUUUUUCCCUUUUCCAUUGAACCUGAUUUCCCCGUUUUCAAUCACUGUAGUUUUUUGUUGAUCUGUAAGCAAAUAAUACAGAGGAGCGGUCACCCGGGAGGCUACUGCUGCCAUCUCCCUGCUCCUGGCGUGGCAUGCAACGAGUCUCCCCAAAGCCCAAUAAGGGUUACCUCGAAAAAUCCCUAUGAUGCCCCGACCUCUCUUGGUCCACUCUGCCCGUGUGCUCCCAGCGUCUGCGUAAUCUCCUUGACCCAGUCCCUGGCCCGAACAAUGUGCAGCGUCUGGGCCAAGGGAGCGCCAGAGGCCCUCAGACAAACAGCCCGCUUUGCCGCAGCGGAGGCGGUGCCGGAGGCUCUCUGGGGUGCGCAGCGCAGCAAGGCGGCAGCUGUCCGGGCGGAGCGGGGCCCCUGUGCCCGGCUUAACAGUACCUGAAGCUGUGCUUGAGCCACCCAGGUGUUUACGCGGCCAGUUGACUUGAUGUCACCAGCUCCAAGCUCAGUGCAUCAAGCAUCCUCGGCAUGUUUUGAAAUGACUCUCCUGAGGAGGACCAAAUCCUCAAACAAAACACAACCAACAGCUCAGACCAGCCCACGAGCAGGCUGCGCCUCUCACGGCAACUUUGUCCCCCUCGGGUGCUGAGAACCAUCAGCCCGAGGUUCUUUGCUUCCCCUCCACGAACAAAGGAGCAGCCAACACUGUAGCGAAAAGCUAGAUAGGGGGCCCGGUCAGGGAUGAAGGUGAGGGACACUUUAAAGCCCACUGGAAAGAGCCUGACUGUUACUAGUUUAACCAGAGCGAAAGCCAGGCCAGCUUCCCUCCGAGUCACUGAGGAGCACGGGGCGCCCCACGCAAAGUAGGCCACUGCCUGCCCAGCGUGGGCUGGGAAGCAAAACACGCUCCCCAGUUCCGGCCCAGAAAUGUCCCCAGCCGGGUCAAACGUGGGUUACAGCCUGGAGGGAAGGAGCAAGGAAAAGGGCGCACAGACCCAGGAGGCUGGAGAGCGCAGUGUGGACUAACUCGUCGAACGAAGCCUGCGCCGGGCCCGGGACUCAGCCCGAACUGCGCGUCGGAAGCUGAGGGUCCGCGGCGGCGGGAAGGGGCCCGGCUGGGAGAGGCCGGCAGGCAGGCGCCAGGCGAGCGGGCGCGCACGGGGCCCGGCCAAGGGCGCGCGGGGCCGCCUGGGGGAGGGGGCCGGCGGAGGCCCGGGCGUCGAGGAAGUGAGCGGGCGGGCGGGGUAGGGGGCAGUCGGGAGGCGGGAGAAGCGAGCUGCCCCAGCGGCCUCUCACCUGUGUCGUCCCCUCGCGUCUGGGCGGCUGC
rnacentral:lncRNA from 1 species